rnacentral:lncRNA from 1 species
AAAAAAUGUUUCCACUGCAAUUAUUUAAUGAUUCAACCUUCAUAGAAACUUAAACUUCAGAGGAGCAAAUAGCCUCAACAGAGGACUAAUUAAGCUUCAUGUUACCCUGGCGAAGUAGGGAGAAUAAGUACGCAGUGAGGCUGCAAUCAUUUCCUCUGAAGUUCGAUUAAAAGCCAAGUUUUAAAAUGUUAGACCAGUGCUAAUCUGCAUGACUGCUUCGGGUUUCAUUUGAGAAAGAAUUGUGGUUGCAAACAUUAACACUAAAAUAUGUGAAUCUAUUUCCAUAAUCAGGGCCCUACGGGAUGGAGCCUAGAUUUAAUAUGGUUUUGGUGCUUACGUGUUUUCCACUACAUUGAUUAAUACUGUCCUCUCAUGUGGAACCCAAUCAGGAGCAACCUGCCAGAGGACUAUUUUCUAUAAAUUUAAGCUGAACUAAUAUCUGUGGAAAUCUUAAGACUAAAGAAGAGUUGAUGAAUAUACUACAAUUAAAGUUGCCUUGUAAAUUGAAGAAUGAAGCAGAGGAUAAUGAACAUAUUGAAAUGAUUCCACAUGUUUUAUGCAUGACACAUUUGUAAUUAAAACGGAUCCUGAAGCUACUCCCACUAAGUGCUCGGUACUGGGCUAGGACAUGCUGCUCACUAUUGUGAGUGAUCGCAGCAACUCAGUUUUGAAUAUUUAUAUAUGUUGAGGUGAAGGAUCUUCCUUGACUACAUCUGAGGAGUUGUGGAAUCCUCAGAAGUAAGUCCUUCUAACAACACACUACAGUAUGAUGCGUUUCUGAUCCAAGCUGCUGUGAAUCCAUGUCAGGAGAAACCUUCAGUUGUGUUUUAAUAAAUGAAAACACAGUAGGGCUGAGAAAUCUGCAGCUACCUGGAAAAAUAAACUCCUUCCCCCUUGGAAACUGCUAAUUUCUUAAAUAUCCACAUUUGCAUUUAGUUUUGGGAAUUUAUAUUGUUUCAAUAAAAAUGAGCA